rnacentral:rRNA from 1 species
UACGGGGGGGGCAAGCGUUGUUCGGAAUUACUGGGCGUAAAGGGCUCGUAGGUGGCCAACUAAGUCAGACGUGAAAUCCCUCAGCUUAACUGGGGAACUGCGUCCGAUACUGGAUGGCUUGGAUUUGGGAGAGGGAUGCGGAAUUCCAGGUGUAGCGGUGAAAUGCGUAGAUAUCUGGAGGAACACCGGUGGCGAAGGCGGCAUCCUGGACCAAUAUUGACGCUGAGGAGCGAAAGCCAGGGGAGCAAACGGG